rnacentral:rRNA from 1 species
UACGUAGGGUGCGAGCGUUGUCCGGAAUUAUUGGGCGUAAAGAGCUCGUAGGCGGUGUGUCACGUCGGCCGUGAAAACCUGCAGCUUAACUGUGGGCGUGCGGUCGAUACGGGCAUCACUGGAGUUCGGCAGGGGAGACUGGAAUUCCUGGUGUAGCGGUGAAAUGCGCAGAUAUCAGGAGGAACACCGGUGGCGAAGGCGGGUCUCUGGGCCGUAACUGACACUGAGGGACGAAAGCUAGGGGAGCGAAUGGG